ACCUGGGGGCAGUUCUGCAGGCGCCUCAACCAGGCUCUCUGCUGCCAGGUGAGGCUUAACCUCAAGUGCCAACAGGAGGCUGGCUAGAGGCUCCCAUCAUGCUUGGCAUCAGGAGAUGUUCAGGGAAGAGCUCUUGCUGACUCUAUCUUCACCUCUCCUUUCCAGUGGUGUUCUGUGGCACACCGUAAUAGGAAAGUUUAAUUUCUCAGUAUGAAAUGUUACAAAAGGAAGACAAAGACCUGCCACUAGUUGGGAAAACCGUAGAUGUGCCUACGCUAUGGUCAUACCCCAACAAAUCCAUGGGUCCUCACUGAAGAGGAUUUUUGCUUGGCUAAUUUUAAACAUACAGAGGCCCUUUUCAUGCUGAAUGGGACUAGUGCAUCUUUCUUUGGCAAAAGUAAAUUGUAUUAGACAAUUAGAGUGAACAGUGAAUGGCUAAUGCAGAAACUCACAGCUGACAUCUACAUCAGCCUCCCCCUGCCCCUGUACCUUGAUGAACAUCUUAGAAGAAGGGAAUGGAGAAAGUGUAAGAGAUGGAGGAUUGGGAGGAAUUCUGUAAAAUGCUGUCUUCUUCUGG